rnacentral:rRNA from 1 species
AUCAAGCUACUAAGGGCUUACGGUGGAUGCCUUGGUGCCAGGAGUCGACGAAGGGCGUGACAGGCUGCGA